CCUGUAGCACAAUGGAUUGCGCUUUGGUUUCCUAAUCCAAAGGUCGUGGGUUUGAAUCCCACCUUGUGGG